CGAAGGCGGCCACCUGGGACGGUACUGACGCUGAGGAACGAAAGCAUGGGUAUCAAACGGGAUUAGAUACCCCGGUAGUCCAUGCCGUAAACGAUGGGCACUAGGUGUCGGAGGAGCUUACCCCUUCGGUGCCGCAGCUAACGCAUUAAGUGCCCACCUGGGGAGUACGAUCGCAAGGUUGAAACUCAAAGGAAUUGACGGGGGCCCGCACAAGCGGUGGAGCAUGUGGUUUAAUUCGAUGCAACGCGAAGAACCUUACCUGGACUUGACAUGUAGGAGACAGCCGUAGAAAUACGGUUUCCUUCGGGUUCCUACACAGGUGCUGCAUGGCUGUCGUCAGCUCGUGUCGUGAAAUGUUGGGUUAAGUCCCGCAACGAGCGCAACCCUUGUCCUUAGUUGCCAUCAGGUAAUGCUGGGAACUCUAAGGAGACUGCCGGUGACAAACCGGAGGAAGGUGGGGACGACGUCAAGUCAUCAUGGCCCUUACGUCCAGGGCUACACACGUGCUACAAUGGCCGGUACAAAGAGCAGCGAGGCAGCGAUGCCGAGCGAAUCUCAAAAAGCCGGUCUCAGUUCGGAUUGUAGUCUGCAACUCGACUACAUGAAGCUGGAAUCGCUAGUAAUCGCGUAUCAGCAUGACGCGGUGAAUACGUUCCCGGGCCUUGUACACACCGCCCGUCAAGUCACCCGAGUUGGCCGCACCCCAAGUCGCUGAGCUAACCUCUUCGGAGGAGGCAGGUGCCCAAGGUGUAGUUGGUAAGGGGACUAAGUCGUAACAAGGUAGCCGUAUCGGAAGGUGCGGCUG
rnacentral:rRNA from 1 species